rnacentral:rRNA from 1 species
AACAGAGGAUGCAAGCGUUAUCCGGAAUUAUUGGGCGUAAAGUGUCUGUAGGUGGCUUUUCAAGUCCGUCGUCAAAUCCCAGGGCUCAACCCUGGACAGGCGGUGGAAACUACCAAGCUAGAGUACGGUAGAGGCAGAGGGAAUUUCCGGUGGAGCGGUGAAAUGCGUUGAGAUCGGGAAGAACACCAACAGGCGAAAGCGCUCUGCUAGGCCAAGACUGACACUGAGGGACGAAAGCCAGGGGAGCGAAUGGG